CAUGCGCUUUCAUACCUCCUCGGGCCGGGUUGUAUGGCCACAACAUCAUGGCAAGAAAUGACCUCGUGGAAUCCGAUGGUCCCGUCAAGUUCGCUGACGUCGGCGUAGUCCUCUGAAUUUGAUAUACUUAAAAAACUAAUCAUGUAUGUGACCGCAUCAGGUUGUGCUUAGUUCUUCUUCCUACUUUGGCGACAUAGCAGGGACCCUAUUAGUCUGUGCUCAGUUGAUGGCGGUUCUAUGGCGACGUCUGGUCCAACAAAUCAGCGAGGCGUUUAAUUCGGACAAAAUUAAGAUGCUUAUUAGAAGAUCAUGUCUAUAUAUAUCACCCUUCUGUAAUUGAGCUCCUGGAAGUGAUGGAGGACAAGAUGAUGUUAGCAUCCUAGAUGGAGAGCUUUGCAAGGUGUAGGAGCUAAGAAAGGUGAAGACUGACAAGGUGUAGGUGCCACUGCUACUGUUUGGUGUAUUCUGAAGCUUCUGCAGUUGUGAACUAGUGAAGCUAUCUAUACAUGUGAUGUUAUUCAGCUGUACUAUAAGGUCCUGGUGCUAUCUAUAAAUGGGAAGCAUCAUUCAACCUGUUUUCAACAUGUGAACCCGGAGCAAUCUGUAGUCUAUAUUAAUAAAUUUUGAUGGUAGUGUA